rnacentral:rRNA from 1 species
GAUGAACGCUGGCGGCGUGCCUAAUACAUGCAAGUCGAGCGAACAGACGAGGAGCUUGCUCCUCUGACGUUAGCGGCGGACGGGUGAGUAACACGUGGAUAACCUACCUAUAAGACUGGGAUAACUUCGGGAAACCGGAGCUAAUACCGGAUAAUAUAUUGAACCGCAUGGUUCAAUAGUGAAAGACGGUUUUGCUGUCACUUAUAGAUGGAUCCGCGCCGCAUUAGCUAGUUGGUAAGGUAACGGCUUACCAAGGCAACGAUGCGUAGCCGACCUGAGAGGGUGAUCGGCCACACUGGAACUGAGACACGGUCCAGACUCCUACGGGAGGCAGCAGUAGGGAAUCUUCCGCAGUGGGCGAAAGCCUGACGGAGCAACGCCGCGUGAGUGAUGAAGGUCUUCGGAUCGUAAAACUCUGUUAUUAGGGAAGAACAAAUGUGUAAGUACUAUGCACGUCUUGACGGUACCUAAUCAGAAAGCCACGGCUAACUACGUG